UUUCUCUAUCCAUGGGAUUGAUUGGCAUUAUCUGCGAUGAAGGACGUGCUGGAGGACGAUAUGCCGUUUUUUUUAGCGGAUGUCUGAAUUAGGUGUUUGUGCGCCUGUGGACCCCUUUGACUUAAGCAUAUUACUAAAGGGAGGAGNAGAAACUAAAUAGGAUUAUCUGAGUAGCGGCGAGUGAAAGGAUAUGAGCCUGUGUGGUAAUCACGUGUGUGAGUUGUGAAUUAGGAUGACGAUGCUGAGGCACGGAUUGGAAUCUGUUUUCUUAGGGGGUGAUAGGCCUGUAAGUGUUGUCUUUUUUUGUGAUGAGUAGGGUUGUUUGGUAGUGCAGCCUGAAUGUGGGUGGUAUGUGCAUCCAAGGCUAAAUAUGUGAUGAUGACCGAUAGCGAAUAAGUAGAGUGAUUGAAGUGUGAAAAGAUUAAUGAUGAGAAAUGAAAAUGGAUUGAGUGAGAUGGG
rnacentral:rRNA from 1 species